GAUGAACGCUGGCGGCGUGCCUAAUACAUGCAAGUCGAACGCUGAAGGAAUGAGCUUGCUCUUUCCGGGUGAGUCGCGCACGGGUGAGUAACGCGUAGAUAACCUGCCUGGUAUCGGGGGAUAACUAUUGGAAACGAUAGCUAAUACCGCAUAACAGUAGGUGUUGCAUGAUAUCUACUUAAAAUGUGCAAUUGCACCACUACCAGAUGGACCUGCGUUGUAUUAGCAGGGUGGUGAGGUAACGGAGCACCAAGGCGAGGACACGUAGCCGAACUGAGAGGGUGAGCAGCCAGACUGGGAGUGUGACCGGGCCCAUGGUGCCUGGGGAGGGGGCAGUAGGGCAACGUGGGGAAGGGGCGGGAGUCUGACCGAGAAAGGCCGAGGGAGGAAAGAAGGUUUUCGGAUCGGAAAGGACGGUUGUAAGGGAAGAAAGAGUGUGAGAGUGGAAAGUUCACUCUGUGACGGUAACUGAUAAGAAAGGGAUGGCUAACUACGUG
rnacentral:rRNA from 1 species